UGUACGAUAACUCAGUUGGUUAGAGCAUGGUGCUGAUAACGCCAAGGUUGCAGGUUUGAUCCCCAUACAGGACAG
rnacentral:tRNA from 1 species